AGUCUGGCGGCGGCGCGCGCCGAUUGGGCGGGCUGCCGCCGGGGAGCGGGGGCAGCAAGUUGGGAUGCGCGCUACUUAAGGUCCUGCUGCGUGAGCCAUUGACGUGUUUGGAGCUGGAGACGGCCUGGGUGCUGGCGAAGCGGAGGCCGGAGUAAGAAGACUGUUAGAAUGCCCUCGGUAACACAGAGGCUGAGAGAUCCUGACAUAAAUCCUUGUUUGUCGAUCCUGUUCUACCUUUUAAAUGAUGCCUCUCUUAUAUCUGUAAGGAAUCUGAUGCUUCCACCAGAUGUCUGGAUGAAAAUAACUAUGACAGGGAAAGGUGUUCCACUUACUUCUUGAGGUACAAAAACUGCCGGAGAUUCUGGAAUUCUAUCGUGAUGCAGAGAAGAAAGAACGGAGUGAAGCCAUUUAUGCCUACGGCAGCAGAAAGAGAUGAAAUCUUGAGAGCAGUGGGAAAUAUGCCCUAUUGAAUGUUUGCAUUAAAAGUGUUUAUAUAACUUAGAAGCAGAUGAAUAUUUCUAAUAAAUGAUUGCUGUAAUAUUUAAGACUGUACACCCCUCACCCAGACAGACC
rnacentral:lncRNA from 1 species